rnacentral:rRNA from 1 species
AUACGGAGGAUGCGAGCGUUAUCCGGAUUUAUUGGGUUUAAAGGGAGCGUAGGUGGGAUAUUAAGUCAGCUGUGAAAGUUUGGGGCUCAACCUUAAAAUUGCAGUUGAUACUGGUUUCCUUGAGUACGGUACAGGUGGGCGGAAUUCGUGGUGUAGCGGUGAAAUGCUUAGAUAUCACGAAGAACUCCGAUCGCGAAGGCAGCUCACCGGGCCGGAACUGACACUGAUGCUCGAAAGUGCGGGUAUCAAACAGGAUUAGAUACCCUGGUAGUCCGCACAGUAAACGAUGAAUACUCGCUGUUUGCGAUAUACAGUAAGCGGCCAAGCGAAAGCGUUAAGUAUUCCACCUGGGGAGUACGCCGGCAACGGUGAAACUCAAAUGAAUUGACGGGG